rnacentral:rRNA from 1 species
UACAGAGGGCGCAAGCGUUGUUCGGAUUCACUGGGCAUAAAGAGCACGUAGGCGGCUGCGUAAGUCGGAUGUGAAAUCCCCCGGCUCAACCGGGGAAUGGCAUCCGAUACUGCGCGGCUCGAGGUUGGGAGGGGUGAGCGGAACUCCAGGUGGAACGGUGAAAUGUGUAGAUAUCUGGAGGAACACCGGUGGCGAAGGCGGCUCACUGGCCCGAAUCUGACGCUGAGGUGCGAAAGCUAGGGGAGCGAACGGG